GGAAGUAAAAGUCGUAACAAGGUCUCCGUUGGUGAACCAGCGGAGGGAUCAUUACCGAGUUUACAACUCCCAAACCCCUGUGAACAUACCAUUUGUUGCCUCGGCGGUGCCUGCUUCGGCAGCCCGCCAGAGGACCCAAACCCUUGAUUUUAUACAGUAUCUUCUGAGUAAAUGAUUAAAUAAAUCAAUACUUUCAACAACGGAUCUCUUGGUUCUGGCAUCGAUGAAGAACGCAGCGAAAUGCGAUAAGUAAUGUGAAUUGCAGAAUUCAGUGAAUCAUCGAAUCUUUGAACGCACAUUGCGCCCGCCAGUAUUCUGGCGGGCAUGCCUGUUCGAGCGUCAUUUCAACCCUCAAGCCCCCGGGCUUGGUGUUGGAGAUCGGCGUGCCCCCCGGGGCGCGCCGGCUCCCAAAUAUAGUGGCGGUCUCGCUGUAGCUUCCUCUGCGUAGUAGCACACCUCGCACUGGAAAACAGCGUGGCCACGCCGUUAAACCCCCCACUUCUGAAAGGUUGACCUCGGAUCAGGUAGGAAUACCCGCUGAACUUAAGCAUAUCAAUAAGCGGAGGA
rnacentral:rRNA from 1 species